UGUUUUGACAAAUAUAUCGUAUAACUCGGUGCACUAAAGGGUUGUCAACCCCUCCGAGAAUACCGGAAGCUGUGACCAGGCUGCCUGCGGGAUACUGCGGCAGUGAGGUUUCUGUUGCUCCGCGAGGACUGAUGGAGAAGCCCAAAAGGCAACACAGAACGGUAUGUGCGGAUCUUGGUGCCGAUUAAAGCUCGAAGGAUUCUGGCAGCGACAAUAGACGCUAGCUCGAAAGGCUAGAAAAAUCCGUGAAACCUGCAGCAGGGAUGCUGCAGCGAACUUAGCGGAAACUCCGAACCAAGCUGUUGGUAGUGAAGCGGAGAAAUCCGUGUAUAACAGAAUUCUGAGGAAAAAGUAGCUCAAUACCAAAAGUUAUACUGGUCUUGAAAACCAGAGAUAGAAAACAUUUUUCUGAAAGAUGGGUAAAAUUUGUGGGUAACCAUUCCCGCGGCAGGCAAAAGGGGCAGGAAGCUCAGGGUCGCUCCCGAAGGCUCAGACCUGUCUUCUGUAUGGCUGAAGAAAUCGGAAACCGUAGAUUACGUAAGGCGAAGGUCUAUAUGAUAUAUUUGUCAAAG
ncrna:unclassified sequences ROOL RNA